CCGGGAGUGAGUGGGUGGGGGAGCGCAAGAUCCUUUUUCCUGCCCAUUUAACUCCCACCCAUCUGCUGGAAAAGUCAGAACCAUUGCACCGAGCAUCAAAGCAGCCCAUAAUUAAAAGCAUCAGACUCCAGCAAGCCUCUCCCCUCCCUGAGUCUGCGCUGGACUUUAUCCCGCAGGGUGGACAGGACAGAUUCUGGGCAAAACCUUCACCCAAGCCCCACCCCCAGCUGUGCUUCACCAUCCCAGAGCAGAGCCCCUUGCCUUGAGUGAGCCAGUUACAGUCCCACCACCUACGCGGAGGACCGAAGGGGGCAACUGAGGAAUCAAGAGGAAUACAGACCUUCUUCGAGCAGGGCUGUUCCAGUGCUGAGUUCUCGGGAUUGCCACUGUCUGCAGACUCUUUUUCAACCCCCAUCUUCAGACCAGUGACAGGAGGCUCAGCCUCUUCCAGCCCCAGAGAUGAGAUGGGGAGCUUUUGCUCUGGGUCAGCAUCUGGCACGAUGGUGAUGCGGAAGACCAGGCAGUUGAGGGCAUCCUCCUGCACCAGCCCUGCCCCUCGUCCUGCAGGACCAGAGGUCACCAUCCCUCCCAGUCCUCCUCCUGCUGUCCGUCAAGAUUCCACCUUAAGAAACUCAUUUGCCGGACGGAGCUCCAGUCUCCGAAGGAAGACCUGUGACCCACCUCCCAUAGUGGCCACUGAACCUGGGGCCAGGCGGGCCUAGACUCGACCUGCUGGGAAAUGGGAAUCCUCUGCCUGGAACUUGCUGGGCACUGCAGCAGAAAGAAAGACCAUCUGCAAUGAGAGGGAAGCCUUUUCUUCCUGAGGCUGCCAGGGCCACAGAGGCUGGGUGGAGCAGAAGGUGCCCACCACAAGCAGUUCUAGCCUCAGCCCCGCCGGAGACGGUGCCCACCACCGAAGCAACGAGCAGCACGAGCUCUGGCACAGGGUUUUUCAGGGGACGUGGGCAGACAUGCCAAUGAGACUUCAAGUUGUGAGUCAAACUGGGUAGGGGUUUCUUGUGGCUCAGCCAUUAACUCUCCAGGUUUUCCUGCUGCUCAAGGGGCCGAACUCAUCACUAAAUGAAAAGUUAGCAAUCUAAAUAUGCUAAAACUUCAUCUUUGAUGAAGAUGCAGAAGAGUGGAGAAUUCAUACAAUUAGCUGUUGAGAAGCUAAGGGAGAGAAAACAGAAGGUUGCUGGACUUGUAUCCCAGAAAUAAGAUGAAUUAUUUAAGAAUUGCCGAGAAGCUAAACCAGGUGGCCAAGACCCGGGUCACCUCAGAGCGUCAUGUCAGCUGAGUUGGGGGCCAAAUGACCAGAGGCAAAGAGCACUUGGGAGGGGGGACUGGAGAAUAGGGGCUGCUGCUGAAGGAGCUGGAAUUGACAAGGGCAUGGGGUCCCAUUGGUUUGGUAGGGCAGUUGUCACUUCUCCCUGUUAUGUUUGGCGCCCCCCACCCAGUUCUUUUCCACCCGCCAGGUGGAUGAAGCUGAAACCGGGGUGGAAGGACCCAACCCCUCUCCUCCGUCCAACUUGUGGAGCUCCAUCCUCCUUGCUAUCCCUCCACCUCUGCCCAGGCCAGGCUCCUGCUUUCCCCUUGCCAGGCUCCAGCCAUAACAGAGAGGUGCUGGCUGCCGAAUUGGGCUCCCCAGCCCCCUUCGCACAACCUCAUCCCGUUACCCUUGAAGACAAGGAAGGGAAGCCUGCUUGGAGGUGAAGUCCGUAUCUAUCCAAUUUUCAGCCGCCUCGCAUCGAAAUGAGACAUUGGAGGCCCAGCCAGGCACAAACAGCUGAUAACAGCCUCUCAGCAGACCUGGGCAAUCUGGAGCUAAUGCAGACCAGAGCAGCAGCGCUCAGAAGGAGCAUCUGAACGGAGCCAACUUCCUUCCAAGAAAAUAUAACAAAGCAAAUCAAAAAAGUGUGUGCAAAUUAGGGCCUGGUUUGCAUAGGUUUUCAAUUUGAAUGCUCCUUCCCCUGAGACUCUGCAGCGUUUGCCUUUUGUUGGAAGUUCAGCAGUUGCUGUCCGUCACGGAGGGCAUAUUUUAAGGGGAGGCUGUCACAUGCAAAGAGCCUUUCUCUCCCCCCCCAGCUCUCCUUCCUUCCGCAGGAGGAACAAGGGAGCUUCUGAGCCUCAAGAAGGAACAGUGGUGAUCCUGCUUUAGGCCACGGGAUGCCUGGGGCAGCUCCUCCCUGGCAAGAGAGCCACUGUGAGGACAGACCCCAAAGGGAGAGGAGGCCAUCGUGAAGGGAGGCCCCCAGCUGCACCUGGAGAGGAAGUGGCCCAGCCAAAGCAGCAAUGGGGCAAGGCCGCCCUGGGGCAGAUGUGACCAGCGGAAGCGACCAGGGAGGCCCCAGGCUGGAGUUGAAGCAGGAAGCUGUGGUGGCCCAGCAGAGCAGAAGCUGCAACUUUGGUGAAAGAACAGGUGCUGCACAGAAACAACCUCUCCUCCUCCUCCUCGCCUUAAAGAAAGCUGACCCCAACCAAAGGCCAAACCCACUCCUGAUGAAAGGGCAAAUGUGAAUGCAAAAAGCAGCCGGCUGGAGCAAGCUCUCCUGUCCUAAGAAGUCCCACCAGCCUGACGUCAUGGGGCCCAGGGCAGCUGAAGCUCCUAGCAAAAUUCUGGCAGGCGAGCAGCGCUGGUUGGCUGGCUGGUCGGUUGGCUCUUCCGGCCUUUGCAUCUGUUUUCCUUUGUGGUUUGUUAAAGCGUUUAUUAGCCAUUACUUCCAUAUCGCCAAUUGAUGAGGCUUCCACAUUUCUCCCCAUGCAAAUUGACUGUGGAUGGAUGAGCCUCUAGAUCAGGUUAAUUUCUAUCUUCCCGGAGCCCCUUCCAAGGUUGUUUGGGUUGGGGUUUCCCUAGAAAGACCACCCAAUUUCCCUAGUGCAUGUCCAUCUCUAGAUCGGCUGGCCGGGAGAGGCUGAGAACACUGGAGCCUUUGACUGGCCAGCCGUGGCCUGAGUGAGAAGAGGAGCUGAGAGAAACAGGCAGAUUUGCAUCCAGCUGUGUCAAUGUUUUUGGUUUCACUGGCUGAGGCCCUGGAUUUGAACCCGGGCCAAGACAAGCUGUGCUUGCGUUGUUUUUGGCUUUGCCUCCCGGCUGAGGAAUGUCAGCAUCACUUUCAAAAUAUGAUGCCUUGUAAUUUUGGACCGCAGGAUGGAAACGGAGCUGCUGGGCGCUUGCUCUCCUUCCAGCUCCUCCACUUGCCCAGGCAGGGGUGAGGGAGGGAUCCUGUGUUUCUGGUCCACUUGGGCCUUAGCAGGAAGCAGGGAUUGGAGGAAGGCCCUUGCUGGCCUCUGGGGGGGGGAGAGUGGCCGUGUGACGAGCACCCCUCCCUGCCAACGGGCAUGCCCAGAAACAGCAUCCAAAGUCCAGAUGUUCUGCCAGGGGUGUUUUUGCACAGGGGGAAAUUGCCACUUGAUAGGUGCCUCUCAGGGCCGGAUUUAGAUGAAAAGAGGCCCUAGGCUAUUCCACUUAUGAGGCCCUUUCACCUAUAGUGAAAGUGUAAUUUUAAUUUUGCUAACAAUUUGAAUGUAGGCCCCUCUUGAUCUUGAGGCCCUAGGCUGAAGCCUAGUUAGCCUAUAGGAAAAUCCGGCCCUGGUGCCUCUCCUUAGAGCUCAUUAAGCUGUGAUGUGAUUCGCUUGCAGGUCUAGUGCAGGUUUAAAGCACGGGCAGGACACACACAUGGGGACACACACACACGAGCAUCAGUCUGACACAUCCAGGAGUCCAUGCAGAUCCAACCUGGCCCAGCCAGUUGAGCUACAGGAGUUUGCGAGUCUGAGCUGCUUCUGCCCUGGUUGUCCUUCAAGCUGCCCUGGCCAAGUCUUUGGAUGGGAAGGGUCAAGAAAAGGGGAGGGGCUGCCCUCUUGGAUCUGGGUCAGGAAAGCACUGCUUCCCCAUAUCCACAGCACUCUCUAGGAAGGAAAACCUGAACCCAGAAGUCUGGAGAGCCUCUGGCUGAAUGGCCCCCAGGUGCUUUUUCAAAAGGCAAUUGGGAUAUUUGCUUCCUUCAGGAAGAAGAACAAAAUGUUUCACUUGUCAUCCAAGAAGCUUCAUCAGUUGUGAUGGUGGCGGGGAGGGUAAAUGGAAGGAUAGCUACUGACAGUUGAGACCUAUCCUUCCCAUGGAGACGGGAAGGUGGGGGGUACAGGGCUUUUGCGACACCUUGACCUCAUCCCAGGAGCAGGAAGGCUGAGUCUUGUUUGUGGCAAUCUUGCUUUUCAGAGAUUGGAAGGAUGCAGCCCACCUGGAGGGAUGAGUCAAGCAGGAGGGCCUGAUCGUCCCUCCCUGCCACGUUGGGAGAAGGCACCAAAUAUGUUCCACUGAGCAAGCGCUGCUCUUGUGAUGAAGGGGGAAGAUUUGAGAAACAGGCACCAUCUAUAAAUAGAGCUGGGUGGGCACAUGGGAAUUCCAGAGAGCCCAGACCUGAGCAACAGCUGCCUUCUGAAGAAGAUGGAGCUCUCCUCUCAGUCACUGCUAGGAAAAAUAUCCAGGGAUGGGGAGGAAUAAAGGAAACUAGGCUUUCUGGGAACAGAUGAGGCAGAGGCCUGCAGCAACCCUUGGCAGAAGAUUCCACGCUGGGUUUCCAGCACCUCAAGUUAUGGGGCCUCGCAGAGGAAGCAUCUUAACGUGAUAAGGAGCCCCAAGGGAGGCUGGAGAUGCCAGCCCAGAGGAACUGAAGAGAAGGCCUCUUCCACUGGUGCAAAAUGUGGGCAGAGCAGCCGUCCGAAGGCCCUGCGCUGCCCUGGAAAUGGAGUGAGGAAGGAGGAGGACUUCGGUGGAUGGGCUAAAGGAAUGCCCCGAGGCCUGCAAGGAAAGCCACAGGGAGGGGUAGAAGACGGAGGCAUCAAUUCAGAAGAACCUCCGCCAAGCAAGGUGGCAUUUCCAGGCUCUGCUCUUGUAAUGGCCUUGCCUUGCCCAGCCCUGGCCCCACCCUCCCCUCUAGCCUUGCACAGCGCCCCCCACAGAUUCCCCGAUGUGGCUCAGCAGAUGGAGUCAGCUCUCUUUCCAGCACUCUGCAGGCCCAUCUUCUGCAGGAGAAGCUGCCAACCCCUAGCCCAGCUUUCCCUCCAGUGCAAAUGGCUGCAUUUUCACAGGCUGCGCCCC